rnacentral:lncRNA from 1 species
GUGGUUUCAGGAUCCUUCUGCGCCCUCAACAGCUUCUGGACCAAAAAGUGAAGGAGACAAUGAGAGUGAACAUUCCAACUACAAAGCAGUGGAUGCUGACGAAGAUGGAGAUGAAGAGAAGAAUAAUGAUGGUGGAUUAGGAGAGACCGAAGAGGAGCUAUCGUCUGAUGACGGGGGAGGCAGUGGGAACAACCCUAAUGGCAAAAGCAACAACUCCAAAGCCGAGUCUGGAGGAGAUGCCGCUGGAGUAGGCGAAGAUGGUGAAGAGGAAGAAGAAGAAGAAGGCAACAACCGUGACGACGACGACGAUGGCGAUGAUGAUGGAGAUCAAGACAAUGAAGAUGAUGAGGACGAGGAGGAGAAUGAUGAUGAUGAAGGUGAAGACAAGGAGGAGGAAGAAAUUGUGGAAGAGGAUGAACCAGAGGAUGAAGAAGAGGAUGAGGAAGAGGCCCUUCAGCCCCCAAAGAAGAGGAAAAAGUGAAAGAAGCUGCUUCGCAUUGUGCCAACCAUGAAAAGUGCUGUUUAACUUCGUACUCUCUUUAUAGGAGGAAGUUUCUGUGCCAGAACUGUUUAGGCUAAUUUUCUUGUAUUUCGUACACAAUUUAUGGUCCAAUAAUAUUUAGAAAAGACAAAAAUAUAACCCAACACUCUCAUCAUAUCUCAUACUAAUGCAGUUUUUUGAAAAAAAACAAAACAAAAAAAAAAAAAAAAAGGAAAGAAAAGGAAAAAAACAUUUA